GGGAACUACUGAACAGACUCUUCCCUUCUUUACUCAGUUCUUUCAGUUCCAUGCCAAGUAUAAUGAUCUUCCAACUUUCAUGUUUUUUGUGUUUGCAAAUGGCAUAGCUAGUGGAUACCUUGUACUCUCCUUGCCUUUCUCUAUAAUCUGCAUUGUCCGGCCUCAUGCAGUAGGACUAAGGCUUCUCCUUAUCAUCUUGGAU
rnacentral:misc_RNA from 1 species